rnacentral:rRNA from 1 species
AGUGAACGCUGGCGGUAGGCCUAACACAUGCAAGUCGAACGGCAGCACAGUAAGAGCUUGCUCUUACGGGUGGCGAGUGGCGGACGGGUGAGGAAUACAUCGGAAUCUACUUUUUCGUGGGGGGUAACGUAGGGAAACUUACGCUAAUACCGCAUACGACCUACGGGUGAAAGCUGGGGAUCUUCGGACCUUGCGCGAUUGAAUGAGCCGAUGUCGGAUUAGCUAGUUGGCGGGGUAAAGGCCCACCAAGGCGACGAUCCGUAGCUGGUCUGAGCGGAUGAUCAGCCACACUGGUACUGAGACACGGUCCCGACUCCUACGGGAGGCAGCAGUGGGGAAUGUGGGACAAUGGGCGCAAGCCUGAUCCAGCCAUACCGCGUGGGUGAAGAAGGCCUUCGGGUUGUAAAGCUCUUUUGUUGGGAAAGAAAAGCAGCAGGUUAAUACCGCGCUGUUCUGACGGUACCCAAAGAAUAAGCACCGGCUAACUUCGUG